rnacentral:rRNA from 1 species
UACGUAGGGUGCAAGCGUUGUCCGGAAUCACUGGGCGUAAAGGGCGCGUAGGUGGCCUGAUAAGUAGGAGGUGAAAUCCUGGGGCUUAACCUCAGGGCUGCCUUCUAGACUGUCCGGCUCGAGCACAGUAGAGGCAGGUGGAAUUCCCGGUGUAGCGGUGGAAUGCGUAGAGAUCGGGAAGAACAUCGGUGGCGAAGGCGGCCUGCUGGGCUGUUGCUGACACUGAGGCGCGACAGCGUGGGGAGCAAACAGGG